rnacentral:rRNA from 1 species
GUCUGAUUAGCUAGUUGGUGGGGUAAAGGCCUACCAAGGCGACGAUCAGUAGCCGGCCUGAGAGGGUGAACGGCCACACUGGGACUGAGACACGGCCCAGACUCCUACGGGAGGCAGCAGUGGGGAAUCUUCCGCAAUGGACGAAAGUCUGACGAAGCAACGCCGCGUGUAUGAUGAAGGUCUUCGGAUUGUAAAGUACUGUCUUUGGGGAAGAAUGACUGAUUUGAAAAUAUUGAGUCAGUAUGACGGUACCCAAGGAGG